rnacentral:rRNA from 1 species
AUGCGAUGGGUCAUGGGUGAGGUGCUGGAACCCCUCGACAGACGUGCUGCAUCCAUGGCUGGCAAAGCUGCAUCCAUCGCCCGAUUUUGCAUUUUUGCUACCACCGUUUAUUUUUUUGCUAGAACCAGCACAAGUUUUUGCUACCACCAGUUUUUGGGUUUGCUUGAACUAGCCCCCAAUUUUAUAAAUUUUGCUACCACCAGCGUUUUAGUUUGCUGGAGCGAGCUUUGUUUUUUGCUACCACUGGCAUUUUUUGAUUUGCUGGAACAACGUCCAAUUUGCAUGAUUUGCUACAACCGUGUUUUCGAUUUGUUGGAACCGGUGCCACUUUUUGCUACAACCGUCUUUUUGGAUGCGAACCAUAGCGUCGUCGUCGUUGAAUCUGUAGCGAGGCGAGGGGGGAGCAGCACCGACAAGGGGUGA